rnacentral:lncRNA from 1 species
AACUAACAGAGCUUUAAAAGCUGUGUUAUCUUACUGAAUUUUCACCACGGAAAUUUGUUUUGAGCAUUGCCAUUGAUGUGAUGCAACCAUGUUCUUAAUCUUUCCUUCUGUUUGUGUGUGGCCAUUUCUCUCAAAAAUAGUUGCCUGAAGCUCUGCAUAUUUCCCAACUCAAAUUCCUGAUGAUCAUCAUCUGUUCUGGGAUGUGUGCCUAUAGCUGCUAUCUUUGGAAGGGUCUGCUUGCAAGGCUGGCUGUGAUAAGAGUGGUUCUGUGGGCUAGACUGUUUGCACAAGCAAAGUGAUUUAUGCUAAACACUCAUUUUCCUUCUCAGAGCCUGGAAUUUUGGCACAUGCAAGGCAGAGAGCGGAUAUGACUAGGCCCCAAUAAAAAUGUUGAACGUUGAAUCUCUGGUGGGACUUCCUGGGCAGAAGCAUUGUACACAUGUGACUGCAUUAAAAAAAAAAAAAACUCUUUUGUAGUUGUAGAAUACCUUUAUUUGUUUAUUUUCAUGUGAUGCUGAGGAUUGAACCCAGUGCCUCACACAUGCUAGGCAAGCACUCUGCCACUGACCUAUAGCCUUAGCCAGCGACUGCAUUUUCAUUGCUGGAGAAAGUAGCACACCUGAGUGCAUCCCUUCAUGGAAGAAAAGUGUGGAGCCUGUGCAUGGAUCUCUAGACUCUGUUUGAGGAUCGAACCUAGGGUCUUGCACGUGCUAGACCUCAUUAUGCUAGGUCUCAUUAUAACCUGACUAUGUAUAAUUGCAUUAAAUCACUGUAAUAGAUCUUAGCCAUGAGUCCCACUAUACGCCAAGUCCUGGGAAUCCUAGAAAAUCUCUGAAUAUGGGCGUGAUCUUAGGGAUCCUGACACAGGCCACUUAAAUUAGUUAAUCCAAUUAAUUGCAUUUGGGGGAGAGAGUACCCUCAUACUUUACCUGGCUACCCCGAGAUUUUACAAUCUGGUCCAGAACAGAUCUCAACUCUGGUUACAAAACAGAAUCUUCUCAGAAUCUUUAAUAAUUGGACCCCCAUCCAAGAGUAAUUAGUAACUCGGAGUUGGAAUCUCUGGGGGUGAGCCGUACAGAGAUUCUAACCUGCAGCCAGAGUUGGGACCAAUGGUCUUGAUUGAUUUUCUUCUAUAGUCUCUUUUAGAAGGAGAUUGUGACUUCGGGAGGCAUCAUGAUCUACCCAGCCAGUACAAUGCACAUUUUUCAGAUGAAAUAAGGAACCUGUGUCUUUUGGAACACUGCAAAAAUAGUGAUAUUGCUUAGUUGUGCUUGUA